UUCGGAGGGCAAAAUUUUAAAAAGAUCCGAACACGGUGGACACCUCGUGCUGCCCAAACCACAGUGACGCCAGUCGGGAUGGGAUGCCCAGGACAAAAACCGUGGCCACGGAGCACACGAACUGGCCAAACAAGGUCACGACAAACAUUUGGGGGUCCGCCGUGCUGGUCUUGAUCCAUGCCCCGAUGCAGUUAAAGGCGGCCCCCACCACCAAAAUGUCCCUGAGACCACGCUUGUCCAGCAUCCAGAUGACAGGGAGAAUCAGAGGUUGGUGCUCUGUUGAGUCCAGUCUAGAAUAUUCCACAGUGUCACGGCUCAUACUGAAAGGCAGUUGGAAGUGUCUUCCCAGGUGGUUGGAGGACCAAUCAUGGUCUAUGACUUCAUUCAGAGAACUCCUCUUCUGACUAAAACUCUCCAUUUAUUCCUUAUUUUUCUGCUUAAGUUAACAGCUGGAAGACAAGACCAAAACCGUUGCUUUUUGUGUGUUCUUUCUUUACCCUGACUUCUCACCUGACUGGUCUCACAGGUUUCUCCCUCCCGUGUUUUUAAUGAUCAGAUGCUAAUAAUGCAUUUUAGAAUGUACUAGAAAUGCAUGGCAACAGACAGACACCUGACAUGUCCAGGGGGGGCUCAAUAUUAGAUACAAAGUAUAGAUUAUGUGUGACCUCGUGAAAAAAUCUUGCAAUCUAAUUUUUUUGUGCACGAUACUACUAAAAUACAUGCAGGUCAUUAGCAAUAAUACCGUGAAAAGUAAAUCAUCACAAUAUAGAGAAAUAAUGGAAAAUAUUACCAAUAAUAUACUAUGUACUAUAAUAAUACUAUCUUACAAUUCUAAAACGGAAAAAAAAUGGAAUAUCAAAAUCAUGUUCAUUGGGGAGGGGGGGCACAUCAUCAAUACGGUUCCCCACGGAGGGCUGGUUGUAAAUGGGACACUGUAUAGAUGUAACUACUCCAUAAUGUGUUAAUAAAUGUUACUGCAAUUGAA